rnacentral:sRNA from 1 species
GUGUCGAUUCGAUCGGGAUACUCAUCAAAUAACAAUGAAAACUGGGUAGGUUUCUUUUGUUAAUGGCGGGCCACAUAAAUCCGAAAGGACUAAACGUUAAGUCGGUGGAUUACAAAGACGGAGAACUCUCAAAUCUUACAUACUCGGAGUUUCAUCACAUCAUCG